rnacentral:piRNA from 1 species
UUCUUGGUGCAGAUGAAGAACCGACCAGU